GACGAACGCUGGCGGCGUGCUUAACACAUGCAAGUCGAACGGAAAGGCCCUGCUUGCAGGGUACUCGAGUGGCGAACGGGUGAGUAACACGUGGGUGAUCUGCCCUGCACUUCGGGAUAAGCCUGGGAAACUGGGUCUAAUACCGGAUAGGAGCCAUUUUUAGUGUGAUGGUUGGAAAGUUUUUUCGGUGUAGGAUGAGCUCGCGGCCUAUCAGCUUGUUGGUGGGGUAAUGGCCUACCAAGGCGGCGACGGGUAGCCGGCCUGAGAGGGUGGACGGCCACAUUGGGACUGAGAUACGGCCCAGACUCCUACGGGAGGCAGCAGUGGGGAAUAUUGCACAAUGGGCGCAAGCCUGAUGCAGCGACGCCGCGUGGGGGAUGACGGCCUUCGGGUUGUAAACUCCUUUCGCUAGGGGCGAAGCUUUUUGUGACGGUACCUAGAGAAGAAGCACCGGCUAACUACGUG
rnacentral:rRNA from 1 species